rnacentral:misc_RNA from 1 species
GAUGAAGAACGUAGCGAAAUGCGAUACGUAAUGUGAAUUGCAGAAUUCAGUGAAUCAUCGAAUCUUUGAACGCAUAUUGCGCUCUCUGGUAUUCCGGAGAGCAUGCUUGUUUGAGUAUCAGUAAACACCUCAACUCCCUUUUCUUUUUUGAAUUUGGAGCUGGACUUGAGUGAUCCCAACGCUUUCUUCCAAGAAAGUGGCGGGUUGCUUGAAAUGCAGGUGCAGCUGAACUUUUCUCUGAGCUAUAAGCAUAUCUAUUUAGUCUGCCUAAAAAACAGAUUAUUACCUUUGCUGCAGCUAACAUAAAGGAGACUAGUUCUUGUGCUGACUGAUGCAGGAUUCACAGAGACAGCUUCGGCUGACUUUGUAAACUCGAUCUCAAAUCAAGUAAGACUACCCGCUGAACUUAAGCAUAUCAAUAAGCGGAGGA